AGUGAACGCUGGCGGCAGGCCUAACACGUGCAAGUCGAACGGCAGCACAGAGGAGCUUGCUCCUUGGGUGGCGAGUGGCAGACGGGUGAGGAAUACAUCGGAAUCUGCCUAUUUGUGGGGGAUAACGUAGGGAAACUUACGCUAAUACCGCAUACGACCUACGGGUGAAAGCGGAGGACCUUCGGGCUUCGCGCAGAUAGAUGAGCCGAUGUCGGAUUAGCUAGUUGGCGGGGUAAAGGCCCACCAAGGCGACGAUCCGUAGCUGGUCUGAGAGGAUGAUCAGCCACACUGGAACUGAGACACGGUCCAGACUCCUACGGGAGGCAGCAGUGGGGAAUAUUGGACAAUGGGCGCAAGCCUGAUCCAGCCAUGCCGCGUGGGUGAAGAAGGCCUUCGGGUUGUAAAGCCCUUUUGUUGGGAAAGAAAAGCAGUCGGUUAAUACCCGAUUGUUCUGACGGUACCCAAAGAAUAAGCACCGGCUAACUUCGUGCCAGCAGCCGCGGUAAGAC
rnacentral:rRNA from 1 species